rnacentral:rRNA from 1 species
AGUGAACGCUGGCGGCGUGCUUAACACAUGCAAGUCGAACGAGAACGGGCUAUAGCUUGCUAUAGUUGUCAGCUAAGUGGCGCACGGGUGAGUAAUGUAUAGGUAAUAUGCCUCUUACUAAGGGAUAACAAAUGGAAACGUUUGCUAAUACCUUAUACUCCUUAUUAACAGAAGUUAAUAAGGGAAAGAUUUAUUGGUAAGAGAUUAGCCUGUAUUGUAUCAGUUAGUUGGUGGGGUAAUGGCUUACCAAGACUAUGACACAUAACUGGUUUGAGAGGAUGAUCAGUCACACUGGAACUGAGACACGGUCCAGACUCCUGCGGGAGGCAGCAGUGGGGAAUAUUGCACAAUGGACGAAAGUCUGAUGCAGCAACGCCGCGUGGAGGAUGACACAUUUCGGUGCGUAAACUCCUUUUAUAUGAGAAGAUAAUGACGGUAUUAUAUGAAUAAGCACCGGCUAACUCCGUGCCAGCCGCCGCGGUAAAAC